rnacentral:tRNA from 1 species
GCCCGGGUAGCUCAGUCGGUGGAGCGUUAGGCUUUUGACCUAAUGGUCCAGGGUUCGAGUCCCUGUUCGGAUG